UACGAAGGGGGCUAGCGUUGUUCGGAAUUACUGGGCGUAAAGCGUGCGCAGGCGGCUUCUCAAGUCAGGGGUGAAAGCCCAGAGCUCAACUCUGGAAUUGCCUUUGAGACUGAGUGGCUUGAGUACGGGAGAGGUGAGUGGAAUUCCCAGUGUAGAGGUGAAAUUCGUAGAUAUUGGGAAGAACACCGGUGGCGAAGGCGGCUCACUGGCCCGUAACUGACGCUGAUGCACGACAGCGUGGGGAGCGAACAGG
rnacentral:rRNA from 1 species